rnacentral:piRNA from 1 species
UACACUCUCUUCUUCAGCCUGCCCAAAC